GACGAACGCUGGCGGCGUGCUUAACACAUGCAAGUCGAACGGAAAGGCCCUGCUUUUGUGGGGUGCUCGAGUGGCGAACGGGUGAGUAACACGUGAGUAACCUGCCCUUGACUUUGGGAUAACUUCAGGAAACUGGGGCUAAUACCGGAUAGGAGCUCCUGCUGCAUGGUGGGGGUUGGAAAGUUUCGGCGGUUGGGGAUGGACUCGCGGCUUAUCAGCUUGUUGGUGGGGUAGUGGCUUACCAAGGCUUUGACGGGUAGCCGGCCUGAGAGGGUGACCGGCAACAUUGGGACUGAGAGACGGCCCAGACUCCUACGGGAGGCAGCAGUGGGGAAUAUGGCACAAGGGGCGGAAGCCUGAUGCAGCAACGCCGGGUGCGGGAGGACGGCCUUCGGGUUGUAAACCGCUUUCGCAUGUGACGAAGCGUGAGGGACGGGAAUGGGUAAAGAAACACCGGCUAACUACGU
rnacentral:rRNA from 1 species